UGGGGAAUUUUGGACAAUGGGGGAAACCCUGAUCCAGCCAUCCCGCGUUUGCGAUGAAGGCCUUCGGGUUGUAAAGCACUUUUGGCAGGAAAGAAACGUCAUGGGUUAAUACCCCGUGAAACUGACGGUACCUGCAGAAUAAGCACCGGCUAACUACGUGCCAGCAGCCGCGGUAAUACGUAGGGUGCAAGCGUUAAUCGGAAUUACUGGGCGUAAAGCGUGCGCAGGCGGUUCGGAAAGAAAGAUGUGAAAUCCCAGAGCUCAACUUUGGAACUGCAUUUUUAAAUGCCGGGCUAGAGUGUGUCAGAGGGAGGUGGAAUUCCGCGUGUAGCAGUGAAAUGCGUAGAUAUGCGGAGGAACACCGAUGGCGAAGGCAGCCUCCUGGGAUAACACUGACGCUCAUGCACGAAAGCGUGGGGAGCAAACAGG
rnacentral:rRNA from 1 species